rnacentral:rRNA from 1 species
AUUGAACGCUAGCGGGAUGCUUUACACAUGCAAAUCGAACGGCAGCGCGGACUUCGGUCUGGCGGCGAGUGGCGAACGGGUGAGUAAUGUAUCGGAACGUGCCCAGUAGCGGGGGAUAACUACGCGAAAGCGUAGCUAAUACCGCAUACGCCCUACGGGGGAAAGCAGGGGAUCGUAAGACCUUGCACUAUUGGAGCGGCCGAUAUCGGAUUAGCUAGUUGGUGAGGUAACGGCUCACCAAGGCGACGAUCCGUAGCUGGUUUGAGAGGACGACCAGCCACACUGGGACUGAGACACGGCCCAGACUCCUACGGGAGGCAGCAGUGGGGAAUUUUGGACAAUGGGGGCAACCCUGAUCCAGCCAUCCCGCGUGUGCGAUGAAGGCCUUCGGGUUGUAAAGCACUUUUGGCAGGAAAGAAACGUCGCGGGCUAAUACCCCGUGGAACUGACGGUACCUGCAGAAUAAGCACCGGCUAACUACGUG